UAGUCCACGCCGUAAACGAUGAGUGUUAGGUGUCUGGUAUAAACUGGGCGCCGCAGCUAACGCAAUAAACACUCCGCCUGGGGAGUACGCACGCAAGUGUGAAACUCAAAGGAAUUGACGGGGACCCGCACAAGCAGCGGAGCAUGUGGUUUAAUUCGAAGCAACGCGAAGAACCUUACCAAGUCUUGACAUAUUUCGGAGGAGAAUAGAGAUAUUUUCCCAUGACUUCGGUCAACUGAAAUAC
rnacentral:rRNA from 1 species